AUGAUUUCAACGCCCAGGUUAGGCGCAAAACAGAUAAAAUAAAUUGUUUAUCACAUGUUUAUGGUUACCUGUAAGAAGGAAGAAAGACUGGUGUAGUUUAGUUUAAACAUAAGAUGUCUCGCAGUUUGCAAAACUACAGCAAGUUUAGCGCUAAUUUAGUUGAAGUUAAAAGCAAAUUUGAGGCAGAUUUCAGGAGAUUUUCUUUGAACUCAAGACAGCUGACCAAGUAUGAGGAUUUCUGCAGAUUAAUAGAAGAGUUUCACAAGCUGACUAAUUUACCAUUCACCAUCUGCUACACAGAUCCUGUGCAUGGUGAUCUUUUACCUAUCAACAAUGAUGAUAAUUUUGUUCGAGCUGUCACCAGUGCAAGGCCUCUUCUGCGAGUUAUCAUUCAGCGAAAAGGAGAUACCUUGGAACGUUUGAAUGGUUAUGGUAUGUCUAACAAGAAGAAGAACUUCCUUAGUCAGUAUUUACUUCCCUCUACACCUAGGUCUCGCUCCCAAAUAUCCAUCAGUCUUCCAGAGGACUUUCGCCAAGUUUCUUCUAUUAUUGAUGUUGAUGUAGUGCCUGAAACCUGUCGUAGAGUUCGGCUGGUUAAACAUGGUUCUGACAGACCUUUAGGAUUCUACAUUCGUGAUGGAACUAGUGUGCAUGUUACUUCUUAUGGCCUAGAAAAAGUCCCAGGGAUUUUCAUCUCCCGUUUGGUUCCUGGUGGUCUGGCAGAAAGUACAGGGCUUUUAGCUGUGAAUGAUGAAGUGUUGGAAGUGAAUGGAAUUGAAGUGGCAGGAAAAACUUUAGAUCAAGUUACAGAUAUGAUGGUAGCUAACUCUUCCAAUCUAAUAAUUACCAUCAGACCCACCAGUCAAACUGGUAAUCCCAUCUCUUCACGUAGUGCUUUUGAUCGAUUAUCUCAUCAAUCACAGGGCUCUCAACCCUCCAACAACUACCAAAUAAGUGAUGAUGAGCAAGGUGAAGAAGAUGAGAUUAGAGAUCAUACAGGUUGCAAGUUCCCUGAAGAAAUGAUUAAUAAUAAAAACAUGAGUGAUGACACCAUCAUAACUUUGUAGAGUUAAAAAGACUAAAAAAACAGAAUUACAAGAAGUAUGACCAAAACAGUGUACAGUGUUCCAUGCAUUCAGACUUUUUACUUGUGUGAUAAGCCAUACUGUUUGUAUACAAUUUAUCGUUUGGCUUUCCCAAUCAAGAAUGCAUGGUCCAUCCAUAUUCUUUUAGUUAUGACCAGUGAAAGUGAGCAUAUUGCAUGGAUUAAAUGAAAAAACAACUCUUGAAGAAAUGCAACUUUUUAUGGGGGAAUGUAAUUUUCCUGACAGUUUCCUUUGAGUGAAUGUUAUUUUAUUUCAUUAUUUCUAUCCCUGGUAAGCACAAGAGUGCAUUUUUUUUUAUGGUGACAUAUAAAAAAUAGCAGCUUUUUUGAUACUUUUAAUUCUCUUUCUUAUCUACUUAUCCAGUUUUAUUAGAUUUAAGAAUGUGUACAAAAACCACAAUAGCAAAGAUCUAGUUGUAAAAAUGUUUUUACACUUCCAUGUGGUAAACUGAAACAGUUGUUAAUUUAUAUAUGUUCUACCCAUAACCUUACAUGCAUGUAACACUGAACAUACAGUAAGUUAUGUUUACUUUGCAACUCAUAAUUUCUAUAGUUAUAUAUCUUCAGUGAGAUAAUUUACAAUCUACUUGGUAGUGUACAAGAUAUUUUAAUCAGGUUUUAAUUCAGUUGUGUUGUUAUGUAGCUUUAUCUGGCUUAUUUGAAGAUUUAUUUACAUUUGUAAUAGAAUAUUUACAUGAAAUUGAAAAAAAAACUAACUAGAAAUUAUGAGUUUUUCAGAAUGCUUUGAUUUAUAAAUUUAUUACAUUGUUUUCAUUUGUCUAAAGUAAAAGUCCAAUGUUACAAGUAUGAGCAAUAAAACUCAGUCAUAGCAAUAUUAAUGUUGUAUGUAUGUCAAGUAAUUUUGGUAUGGUAGUUGUAAAUUUGUUUUAUCAUUCAGUAUUUUCAACAUAAAAGUACAUUUUUUAAGUGUUUAAUUGCUUGUAUUUUUGGAUAGUUGUAUAAGAAUCUGAUGUAUAGUAUGUUGUUUGGCAAAUAUUGGUUAUUUUAGUGGUAGGUAGUUUUGGUGACUGAUCACUGAACAUCUUUAACAUUAACUAAUUAAUGUAUACUUUUAUAGCAAAUGCACUUUAGUAAUGUUUACUAUCUUAGUUGAGUUGGUACAGUGUUGUGAAUAUGAAUAUGUAUUUUUGAACAGAAUAUUUAUCAUUGCAGUUGAGGUAAUCGAAUAUCUGGAAUUUAGUGAACCAGUAAAUUAUGGCAUAGUUUUAAAGUGAUUUCCAGUCAUAUAGUUUACAAAACACAUAUUCAUUGAAAUUUAUAUGAACUUUUGUCAUGAAUGUUUGCAUUGCUUUUAUUUUGCUUCCUAAUAGUGUGUGUGUUAUGAAUAUGAGAACUGCUUUGUUUCCUAAUGCAUUGUGUUACCAGUGAAUGACCUGUUUUAUAAUUUCAACGUUAGGUAAGAUGGUAUAUUGUUUUACCCCUGAAACUGUUUUCAAAAGGUAGUCACUUGUGAAAUUAAUAAUCACUGGCCAUCUGUGUAUGUGUGUCAUCCACUUGGUCUUUCACUUUGACCUAUCAUUGGUUUUCUGCCCUGCACACUAUAAUUUAUCUUGAUUUGAGACUUUCUUCAUCUACACAAUUACUAGUUCAGUAUAGUAUUUCUGAUACAGAAAUCAUAAGACAGUUUUCGUAAAUAUAAAUGUUUUCAUGCGUGAAGGUAAUAAAAUAUUUGAGUGUAUACAAAAUAUUUUCAUUAAUACUUUAGUAAACAGUGAGAGUAUUUACAUACUAAAAAUUCAAACAUUCUAUUGUAUAGAUUUCAAUAUUACUAUUGCUUACAUAUUCUACAGCUAUGAGUACAUGUUUGUGUUAAGGUAUAAUAGCUAAAAGUAAUGUUAAUUUAUUGGAAUAUUCACUGUUUUUAUACAGAAUGCAGCAAUAAAACAAUAGUUACAUGAGAGUACUAAUAGUUAACGUUUCUAUCAACCUAUUUUUUUAAUAUUGUUAUUUUUUUUGUGUGAAAUGAGUUGGUAGUGUUGUGUGAAUCAUCAUAUUAGUUGUUAUCUGUUUACCAAAGUUUCAUUUUUAUACCAAUUUUUAAUAAAUACAUGUUU
rnacentral:misc_RNA from 1 species